CAGAGCAUGGCUGAACAUCUUAAGCAUCUCCCUUACACUGAGAAGAUGUCCGUGAAAUUCGGACUGCUAUGA
rnacentral:tRNA from 1 species